GACGAACGCUGGCGGCGUGCCUAACACAUGCAAGUUGAGCGAAUGAAGUUCCUUCGGGAAUGGAUUUAGCGGCGGACGGGUGAGUAACACGUGGGCAACCUGCCUCAUAGAGGGGAAUAGCCUUCCGAAAGGGAGAUUAAUACCGCAUAAGAUUGUAGUACCGCAUGGUACAGCAAUUAAAGGAGCAAUCCGCUAUGAGAUGGGCCCGCGGCGCAUUAGCUAGUUGGUGAGGUAAUGGCUCACCAAGGCGACGAUGCGUAGCCGACCUGAGAGGGUGAUCGGCCACAUUGGGACUGAGACACGGCCCAGACUCCUACGGGAGGCAGCAGUGGGGAAUAUUGCACAAUGGAGGAAACUCUGAUGCAGCGACGCCGCGUGAGUGAAGAAGUAAUUCGUUAUGUAAAGCUCUAUCAGCAGGGAAGAUAGUGACGGUACCUGACUAAGAAGCUCCGGCUAAAUACGUGCCAGCCGCCGCAGUAACAC
rnacentral:rRNA from 1 species